rnacentral:lncRNA from 1 species
UAGUAGUAUGGGGGAGGGGGUGAUUUCACUGGUGGAGGUGGAGAGUGGUAAUAGUAUGGAGGAGGUGGUGACUUCACGGGUGGAGGUGGAGAGGGGUAGUAGUAUGGGGGAGGGGGUGAUUUCACUGGUGGAGGUGGAGAAUGGUAAUAGUAUGGAGGAGGUGGUGACUUCACGGGUGGAGGUGGAGAGUGAUAGUAGUAUGGGGGAGGAGGAGACUUCACUGGUGGGGGUGGUGAGUGAUAGUAAUAUGGAGGAGGGGGUGAUUUUACCGGUGGAGGUGGAGAGUGGUAGUAGUAUGGAGGAGGAGGAGACUUCACGGGUGGAGGUGGAGAGUGGUAGUAGUACGGAGGAGGGGGAGACUUCACCGGUGGAGGUGGAGAGUGGUAGUAGUACGGAGGAGGAGGUGACUUCACGGGUGGAGGUGGAGAGUGAUAAUAGUACGGAGGAGGAGGUGACUUCACUGGUGGUGGUGGAGAGUGAUAAUAGUAUGGGGGAGGAGGUGACUUCACUGGUGGUGGUGGAGAGUGAUAGUAAUAUGGGGGAGGAGGUGAUUUCACUGGUGGAGGUGGAGAAUGGUAAUAGUAUGGAGGAGGUGGUGACUUUACUG